rnacentral:rRNA from 1 species
AUCAAGCGCGAGAAGGGCGUUUGGUGAAUGCCUUGGCAGCAAGAGGCGAUGAAGGACGUGAUACUCUGCGAUAAGCCAUGGGGAGCCGAGAAUAGGCUUUGAUCCAUGGAUUUCCGAAUGGGGCAACCCACUUGAUUACAUUCUGUUAUUGCUUCGCAAUAACGAUCAGGGUGUAGAACCAAGUAUUUAUGACCUGAAUACAUAGGGUUAUAAAGGCGAACCCGGGGAACUGAAACAUCUAAGUACCCGGAGGAAAGGACAUCAAUUGAUACUCCCCCAGUAGCGGCGAGCGAACGGGGACCAGCCGAGCCGGAUGAGUGAGAAGAACCAGUUGGGAAACUGGGCCAUAGCGGGUGACAGCCCCGUAUUCGAAGCUCUGACGGACGUAUUAAGUAGGGCGGGACACGUGAAAUCCUGUCUGAAGAUCGGAGGACCACCUUCGAAGGCUAAGUACUCCUUGCUGACCGAUAGUGAACCAGUACCGUGAGGGAAAGGUGAAAAGCACCCCGACGAGGGGAGUGAAACAGUACCUGAAACCGAACGCCUACAAUCAGUCGGAGCCUCCUUGCGGGGUGACGGCGUACCUUUUGUAUAAUGGGUCAUCGACUUGGUCUCACGAGCAAGCUUAAGCCGUUAGGUGUAGGCGCAGCGAAAGCGAGUCUUAAUAGGGCGUCGAGUUCGUGGGAUCAGACCCGAAACCGAGUGAUCUAGGCAUGGCCAGGUUGAAGGCAAGGUAACACUUGCUGGAGGACCGAACCCACAUCCGUUGAAAAGGAUCGGGAUGAGCUGUGCCUAGGGGUGAAAGGCCAAUCAAACUCGGAGAUAGCUGGUUCUCUGCGAAAUCUAUUUAGGUAGAGCGUCAUCCGAAUACCCCGGGGGGUAGAGCACUGGAUGGGUAAUGGGGCCCCACAGGCUUACUGAUCCUAACCAAACUCCGAAUACCCGGGAGUACUAGAUGGCAGACACACUGCGGAUGCUAACGUCCGUAGUGGAGAGGGAAACAACCCUGACCUACAGCUAAGGCCCCCAAUUCAUGGCUAAGUGGGAAAGCAGGUGGGACGACCAAAACAACCAGGAAGUUGGCUUAGAAGCAGCCAUCUUUUAAAGAUAGCGUAACAGCUCACUGGUCUAAACAAGUUGUCCUGCGGCGAAGAUGUAACGGGGCUCAAGCCAUGAGCCGAAGCUUAGGAUGCGCAUAGCGCAUGGUAGCAGAGCGUAGUGUGACAUAGAACUCAUCCUGUAGCUCAAGUAGCCGAACAGGCGGUAGCGCAGGAGAGAGUUCUUUCGAUGAAGCGGGCGCGUGAGCGAUCCCGUGGAGAGAUCACUAGUGAGAAUGAUGACAUGAGUAGCGACAAAGAGUGUGAGAGACACUCUCGCCGAAAGUCCAAGGGUUCCUGCUUAAAGCUAAUCUGAGCAGGGUAAGCCGGCCCCUAAGCCGAGGCCGAAAGGCGUAGGCGAUGGGAACCAGUUUAAUAUUACUGGGCCAGGAGGAUGUGACGGAUUGCGGAUGUUGUUCGACCUUAUCGGAUUGGUCGGGCCGCUGAGCAGUUCCAGGAAAUAGCCCUCCAUCAGACCGUACCCUAAACCGACACAGGUGGACUGGUAGAGCAUACCAAGGCGCUUGAGAGAACGAUGUUGAAGGAACUCGGCAAAAUACCUCCGUAAGUUCGCGAGAAGGAGGCCCGGUUCCUAGGCAACUAGGGGCUGGGGGCACAAACCAGGGGGUGGCGACUGUUUAUUAAAAACACAGGGCUCUGCGAAGUCGCAAGACGACGUAUAGGGUCUGACGCCUGCCCGGUGCCUGAAGGUUAAAAGGAGAGGUGAGAGCCUUGAAUUGAAGCCCAGGUAAACGGCGGCCGUAACUAUAACGGUCCUAAGGUAGCGAAAUUCCUUGUCGGGUAAGUUCCGACCUGCACGAAUGGCGUAACGACUUCCCCGCUGUCUCCAACAUCGACUCAGCGAAAUUGAAUUGCCUGUCAAGAUGCAGGCUUCCCGCGGUUAGACGGAAAGACCCCGUGCACCUUUACUACAGCUUCGCACUGGCAUCAGGAUUGUGAUGUGCAGGAUAGGUGGUAGGCUUCGAACCCGGGACGCCAGUUCCGGUGGAGCCUCCCUUGAGAUACCACCCUUCGCACUCUUGAUGUCUAACCGCGGUCCGUCAUCCGGAUCCGGGACCCUGCGUGGCGGGUAGUUUGACUGGGGCGGUCGCCUCCUAAAGCGUAACGGAGGCGCGCGAAGGUUGGCUCAGAGCGGUCGGAAAUCGCUCGUUGAGUGCAAUGGCAGAAGCCAGCCUGACUGCAAGACUGACAAGUCGAGCAGAGUCGAAAGACGGCCAUAGUGAUCCGGUGGUCCCGAGUGGAAGGGCCAUCGCUCAACGGAUAAAAGGUACGCCGGGGAUAACAGGCUGAUACUGCCCAAGAGUCCAUAUCGACGGCAGUGUUUGGCACCUCGAUGUCGGCUCAUCUCAUCCUGGGGCUGGAGCAGGUCCCAAGGGUACGGCUGUUCGCCGUUUAAAGAGGUACGUGAGCUGGGUUUAGAACGUCGUGAGACAGUUCGGUCCCUAUCUGCCGUGGGUGUAGGAUACUUGAGAGGAGUUGCCCCUAGUACGAGAGGACCGGGGUGAACGAUCCACUGGUGGACCUGUUAUCGUGCCAACGGUAGUGCAGGGUAGCUAUGAUCGGACAGGAUAACCGCUGAAGGCAUCUAAGCGGGAAGCCCCCCUCAAAACAAGGUAUCCCUGAGGACCGAGGUAGACCACCUCGUCGAUAGGCCGGAGAUGUAAGCGCAGCAAUGCGUUCAGUUGACCGGUACUAAUCGUCCGAUAGGCUUGAACC